rnacentral:rRNA from 1 species
GACGAACGCUGGCGGCGUGCUUAACACAUGCAAGUCGAGCGGUAAGGCCCUUUCGGGGGUACACGAGCGGCGAACGGGUGAGUAACACGUGGGUGACCUGCCCUCAGCUCUGGGAUAAGCCUGGGAAACCGGGUCUAAUACCGGAUAUGACUCCAUGACGCAUGUUGUGGGGUGGAAAGCCUUGUGCGGCUGAGGAUGGGCCCGCGGCCUAUCAGCUUGUUGGUGGGGUGAUGGCCUACCAAGGCGACGACGGGUAGCCGGCCUGAGAGGGCGACCGGCCACACUGGGACUGAGACACGGCCCAGACUCCUACGGGAGGCAGCAGUGGGGAAUCUUGCGCAAUGGGCGAAAGCCCUGACGCAGCGACGCCGCGUGGGGAUGAAGGUCUUCGGAUUGUAAACCCCUUUCGGGAGGGAAGAUGGAAUGGGGUAACCCAUUCGGACGGUACCUCCAGAAGCAGCCACGGCUAACUUCGUGCCAGCCGCCGCGGU